GACGAACGCUGGCGGCGUGCCUAAUACAUGCAAGUCGAGCGCAGGAAGCUGACGGAACUCUUCGGAGGGAAGGCAGUGGAAUGAGCGGCGGACGGGUGAGUAACACGUAAGGAACCUGCCUCAAGGAUUGGGAUAACUCCGAGAAAUCGGAGCUAAUACCGGAUAGUUCAUCGGACCGCAUGGUCCGUUGAUGAAAGGCGCUUCGGCGUCACCUUGAGAUGGCCUUGCGGUGCAUUAGCUAGUUGGUGGGGUAACGGCCCACCAAGGCGACGAUGCAUAGCCGACCUGAGAGGGUGAGCGGCCACACUGGGACUGAGACACGGCCCAGACUCCUACGGGAGGCAGCAGUAGGGAAUCUUCCACAAUGGACGAAAGUCUGAUGGAGCAACGCCGCGUGAGUGAUGAAGGUUUUCGGAUCGUAAAACUCUGUUGUAAGGGAAGAACACGUACGAGAGGGAAUGCUCGUACCUUGACGGUACCUUACGAGAAAGCCACGGCUGACUACGUGCCAGCCGCCGCGGUAACAC
rnacentral:rRNA from 1 species